GGUCAAGCUACUAAGAGCAUAGGGUGAAUGCCUAGGCACCAGAAGGCGAAGAAGGACGUGGUAAGCUGCGAAAAGCUGCGGUGAGGCGCAAACAGCCAUCGACCCGCAGAUGUCCGAAUGGGGGAACCCACCUGAGGUAAAUGCUCAGGUACUGCUACAUGAAUCCAUAGUGUAGCAGGGCGAGACGUGGGGAACUGAAACAUCUAAGUACCCACAGGAAAAGAAAUCAACCGAGAUUCCGUAAGUAGUGGCGAGCGAAAGCGGAAGAGCCCAAACCAAUCUAUAGCAAUAUAGGUUGGGGUUGCGGACUGGCGAAAUGAUUCUCUGAGCUUAGCAGAAGUAACCAGGAAAGGUUACACCAUAGAGGGUAAAAGUCCCGUAUGCGAAAAGUGAGGAGACAGGCCAGGAUCCAGAGUACCACGAGGCACGUGAAACCUUGUGGGAAGCAGGGGGGACCACCCUCCAAGGCUAAAUACUAACUGGUGACCGAUAGUGGAGAAGUACCGUGAGGGAAAGGUGAAAAGAACCCCGGGAGGGGAGUGAAAGAGAACCUGAAACCCUAUGUUUACAAGCAGUUGGAGAGCGUUAAGGCUCGACAGCGUACUUUUUGUAGAACGGUCCGGCGAGUUAUUGUAUGUGGCGAGGUUAAGUACUGAAGGUACGGAGCCGAAGGGAAACCGAGUCUGAAGAGGGCGUAAAGUCGCAUGCAAUAGACCCGAAACCGGGUGACCUAUCCAUGGACAGGUUGAAGCGAGAGUAAAGUCUCGUGGAGGACCGAACUCAUAACCGUUGAAAAGGUUUGGGAUGAGCUGUGGAUAGCGGAGAAAUUCCAAUCGAACUCGGAGAUAGCUGGUUCUCCCCGAAAUAGCUUUAGGGCUAGCCUCAAGUAUGUCUAACGGAGGUAAAGCACUGAAUGGGCUAGGGGCCUUACCGGGUUACCGAACCCUAUCAAACUCUGAAUGCCGUAUAGAUUUAGCUUGGGAGUCAGACUACGAGAGAUAAGUUCCGUAGUCGAGAGGGAAACAGCCCAGACCAUCAGCUAAGGUCCCAAAAUCACAGUUAAGUGGGAAAGGAUGUGGGUUUGCUAAGACAACUAGGAUGUUGGCUUAGAAGCAGCCAUUCAUUCAAAGAGUGCGUAAUAGCUCACUAGUCGAGUGAACCUGCGCCGAAAAUGUCCGGGGCUCAAACUGUGUACCGAAGCUGUGGCUUGCUGGAGGUUAGAAGUGAGAAGUUAGAGGAUAGAAGAUGGAAGUUAGAGAUUAGAAGUUAGAAUUUGAGCAAAGUCUUUGAAGAUAAUGCAAAAGAAUGUAACUUGGAAGGUCAAACAUCUAACGUCCGAAAUCUAACGUCUAACAUCUGACUUCUAACUUCUAGCAGGGGUAGGGGAGCUUACUAUGGUAGGUAGAAGCAUGACCGGAAGGACAUGUGGACGAGAUAGUAGUGAGAAUGCCGGAAUAAGUAGCGAGAGUGAAGUGAGAAUCUUUACCGUCGAAAAUCUAAGGUUUCCUGGGGAAGGUUCGUCCGCCCAGGGUAAGUCGGGACCUAAGCUGAGGCCGAAAGGCGUAGGCGAUGGGGAACAGGUUGAAAUUCCUGUACUACCGCUGCUCGUUUGAGAGAAGUGGGGACGCAGGGGGAUAGGUCAAGCGAGUGACUGGAAGAGCUCGUCCAAGCGGCAAGUAGAGUCCGGUAGGCAAAUCCGCCGGAUGAUUAUGAGCCGUGACGGGGAGGGAAAAUAUAGUACCGAAGUGACCGAUUUCGCACUGACGAGAAAAGCCACUAUCGAGAGUAGAGGUACCCGUACCGCAAACCGACACAGGUAGAUGAGGAGAGAAUCCUAAGACGAGCGGGAGAAGCGUUGUUAAGGAACUCGGCAAAUUGACCCCGUAAGUUCGCGAGAAGGGGUGCCUGUGAGAGCAGGCCGCAGAGAAUAGGCCCAAGCAACUGUUUAUCAAAAACACAGGUCUCUGCUAAAUCGAAAGAUGAAGUAUAGGGGCUGACGCCUGCCCGGUGCUGGAAGGUUACGGGGAUCUGUUAACGGAAGUGAAGCAGUGAACUUAAGCCCCAGUAAACGGCGGCCGUAACUAUAACGGUCCUAAGGUAGCGAAAUUCCUUGUCGGGUAAGUUCCGACCCGCACGAAUGGCGUAAUGAUUUGGGCACUGUCUCAACAACGUACCCGGCGAAAUUGUAGUACUUGUGAAGAUGCAAGUUACCCGCGACAAGACGGAAAGACCCCAUGGAGCUUUACUGUAGCCUGAUACUGGGUUUCGGUAUUCUUUGUACAGGAUAGGUGGGAGAUAGGGAAGUGUGGACGCCAGUCUGCAUGGAAUCGCCGUUGGGAUACCACUCUAAGGGUACUGGGACUCUAACCUGAGGCCAUGAGCUGGUCUAGGGACACUGUCAGGUGGGCAGUUUGACUGGGGCGGUCGCCUCCUAAAAGGUAACGGAGGCGUCCAAAGGUUACCUCAGCGCGGUUGGAAAUCGCGCAUCGAGUGCAAAGGCAUAAGGUAGCCUGACUGUGAGACAGACAAGUCGAGCAGGUACGAAAGUAGGGCUUAGUGAUCCGGCGGUAAGAGAGUGGAAUUGCCGUCGCUCAACGGAUAAAAGCUACCCUGGGGAUAACAGGCUGAUCUCCCCCAAGAGUCCACAUCGACGGGGAGGUUUGGCACCUCGAUGUCGGCUCAUCGCAUCCUGGAGCUGAAGUAGGUUCCAAGGGUUUGGCUGUUCGCCAAUUAAAGCGGUACGCGAGCUGGGUUCAGAACGUCGUGAGACAGUUCGGUCCCUAUCUGUCGCGGGCGCAGGAUAUUUGAAGGGAUCUGUCCUUAGUACGAGAGGACCGGGAUGGACGAACCUCUGGUGCACCAGUUGUACUACCAAGUGCACAGCUGGGUAGCCAAGUUCGGACGGGAUAAACGCUGAAAGCAUCUAAGCGUGAAACCCACCCUAAGAUGAGAUAUCCCACCGAAAGGGUAAGACCCCAUGUAGACUACAUGGUUGAUAGGCCAGGGGUGUAAGUACAGUAAUGUAUUUAGCUGACUGGUACUAAUAGGUCGAGGGCUUGACCAA
rfam:[Clostridium] clariflavum DSM 19732 chromosome, complete genome.